AAACCCUGUGGGUAGCCGACAAAAAUCUAUCAACUCUUCCCUUUUUUAUUGUUUCAUCUCUCUGUAAAUCUACGUUAUCAUCACCACUCCUUUCCACUUCCCUUGGUUUCUCCUCAUUUUUUAAUACUUUCAUCGAAUCUUACAGUUAAACAAAAUCUACAAUUGAAGAUUAUGGCCAUGAACCCUGUUAGAACCACCAGAAAGUCUUUUGUUCACCCUGUACUCUUACCUCUUCUAUUUUUUUCUUGAUCAGAUUCUCAGAUGUUUCUUCUUUUCCUUUUUUUUGUUAUUGUGGAUUGAAUUUCGCUUUUUUUUUUCAUUUAAAAAAUACUAUUUAUCUGCAGUGAUGUUGCAAAAAAACUGUUGUGUUUUGGCUAAGAAUACUGUUGACAGAGUUUAACCACUAAUCUUCGUUUGCAGGAACGGAAACUUAAUCAGAAAAAGUUUGAGACGCAGUUUUGGAGCAGCGAACAAACUGUGAAUCAAGAAAAAGACGCUUCUGCGGUGGUGUUACGCCACCGACGCAGCAGGAUAUAAACAAAGGUGUUCCAACCAGUGGAUCCAACAAUAAUAAUGAACCGUCGGUUGUGGUUCCCAAUCAGGUGAAACUCUGGACACUAAGAAGAGGACGCUUCAUGUAAGCGAUUGAUAAGCAAGUGGAGCACGCACAACGUCAGGGACUUCAGGUGCGAAAAUCAUGUGGAGAGAAAGAAUUGAUUCCGACACAUAUUGUGGUUCAGAUUGAAGCGCUCCAAAGAGAGGUCAAGAGUCCAUUUUCACCAGAAGUGGUGUUAGGGAAGGAAGCAUGUCCUAAGAUUGAUCCGGAGACAGCUUUGAAUAAAUUUCAUUGCGCACACGAGGUGUCUGAGCGUGUUUCAAAUCUUGGAAAUUCAAGUUUAAAAGGAGGAACAUGGGAAAGGAAAGACAAAAGAAGCAUGUCCAGUACACUGCAUCUCAGGAAGAACAUCGAGGGUGCUGGCUGCAAAGGAGAAAGGAGAAACAAUUCUUGAAGUCUUGCCAGUGGAACCUAUGAGGUCCAGUAGGAGAAGCUUUCCCCUGUACUGAUAGCAAGGAAGGUAUUAAACAAAUUCAUCUCCAAUUCUGAUGAGCAGAUGAAUGUUGGUGGUGACUAGGAACUCCCACAAUCCCUUAAAGACCUCACUGGGAAAAGAUGUUAUAUUUCAGAUCCGUGAAACGCCAUACAAUUUCACCCCAAACCACCGCACUUUCACUGCAAUCAGUGACCACAUCAACCAGGAGACUUUCAACACCAAUGAAGCUCCAGUUGUUGAAGGGGAAGGUGGCCAAGCAUCCGCUUCUGCCAGCAAGGAGGUUGUAGGUGACAGCAAUGAGCCUAAUCCAUUCGGUUUGAGGGCAAGUCGGGUGGCCGCAAAUGUCCCCGUGAGUGAAAUUACAAAGCUGUCAAACCGUCAACCCAACUCUUCUUCAGUCUCUUCCUUUUUUGAACUUCAGUCUAUUUCCAAUUUCCUAAAUUACUAUGCACUUUUUUUUAAUUUCAGACUUUUUAAUAUUUUUGCUAAUUCAGGGAUUUGUUUUUGUAAUCCAUUUACGGCAAAGUAACUCCUACGGGGAGAUCAGUUUGGAAUAUUUAAUAGUAAUAGUAUAGGGUUGACGUAAUA